rnacentral:sRNA from 1 species
GCUGGGCUCGGUGGUGCAUGCCUGUAAUCCCAGUGGCUCUGGAGGCUGAGGUAGGAGAAUCACGAGUUCAAAGCCAGCUUUAGCAACAGUGAAGUGCUAAGCAAUUCAGUGAGACCCUGUCUCUA